GAUUUCCGGGGUGAAAGCUUUCCUUUUGUCCCUCCCAGAUGAAGAAGCGCUUUGACUCUAAAAAAGCUCAUGUCCCAACAUUUUUGUUGGCCUCCACAGAGCUACUGGACUUGAAUCUAACUCUUUUACCGCAUACCAACACAGCUACCCUCUGAAAUUAUUUUCAUUGCUAAACAAGAAUUUGAAAAAGAGUCUUUCUAUUUCAGGUCCAGUGUUUGAACACCACUAUGCAAUUAAUGACAACAUCACCGGCCACAAAAAUAUCAUUGUAGAGUUACUCUUCUACUGCAGACUGACAUAGCUACUCUCCUUAGAGUCAGGUUUGAUUCCCCAUCUCCCCAUAGAGUGGCAGACCCUGAUCUGAUAAACUGGAGUUGACUCCCCACUCCUACAAAUGAAGCCUGCUGGGUUACCUUGGGCUACUCACAGUUCUCUCAGGACUCUCUCAGUCUCACCUACCUUGUGGGGAGAAGAAGGAAAAGUUUGUCUAUUGUGGGGAGAAGAAGGAAACGUUUGUAAGCCACACAUAGAGAUUUCUUUCAGGAGAGAAAGGUGGGGUAUAAAUCCAAACUCUUCUUCUUUUGAAACCAUUUCAUAAACUAUAGUUCUAUUCUCCAAACUAUGUUAUUAUUUGAGGGUUACAAAAGCCUGGGGGAGAAAAGAGCAGUAAACUGGAUUAGUGGGACAUGUGAAGUUGAAAUACCCAAGGGUCAGACCAUCUGCUUUCAUAACUGCUUGCUCUGCCUAUCAGCUGCUCUCCAGCUUCUCUGGUAGAGAGAAGCACUUCCCAACAUUCAAGACCCUUUUCAACAGGAGCUACCUGAUCUGGAUAGCCCAGCUUUGACCUGAAUGGCCCAGACUGGCAUGAUCUCAUCAAAUCUCAGAAGUUAAGUAGGGUCAGUCCUAGUUAGUACAUGGGUGAGAGACCAUCAAGGAAGUCCAGGGUCAUGACCCAGUGAUAGUUUCAUGUAGGUGUUAAGGCUCAGGCCUGAGAAGACUCAUCUGGCUCUGUGUGGAACUAGAUCUGAAUACAUUUGGGCUUUAUAGUUUAUAUUGUAAACUCCAAGAAGGGGGCACAUGCCCUCUUCUCUGAGUACGUCACUCUGUCAAAUACAUGACGGUGCUGAAUUAGGCAUAAUAACAGCUAAUGUUUCCUGGCUGUCUUGUGAGUUGUUUGUAUUCUUUUGCCAUGAUUAUUUCGUUGCAGCAGGAUGCCUUCCCCCUUUGCUGUACAGCGAUCCUGUUCUAGCAUCAGCAGUGUGAUAAGGGGGCAAAUUUUGAUGCAGGGAGGGAGACCCCUGUUUCCUGUUUCCUUCCUAAUUCCUAAACCCUUUUUUCCUCAAGCCCCAGAGAUCACACAAGUGAAACUGGCAAACCACCCACAUAGCUGUUAAUUAUUGCUCGCUUGCAGAAAAGGAGGAGGUUUCUCAUGCAGAAUUCAGGGCGGGGUCCCCAACCUUUUGGAGCCUGUGCGUACCUUUGGCAUGUUGAGAGGGGGUGCUGAGAAAUGGAAUACUAUCUUCCUGACACCUGGGCAGUCUUUAAAAAAUAAUAUUGCUUCUAAUACUUUAAGGAAUUAAAGGCAACACAUUGCUUUGAAUUAUGAGCUGUGUUCUUUGACCAGUAGUAUUCUGUAUUUAAAACUAGUGCAAUAAAUAACGCAAAAAGUUUUA